GGGUGGGGGGUGGGCCAAAGAAAUGGCUCCUCUGUUUACAACAGAGGAAUCAACAGCAAGAAUCUGGGUGCAUUGUGACAGGGUCACAAAACUUGUGGUCUUCCUACAAACAAAUACCCAACACAC
ensembl:snoRNA